rnacentral:misc_RNA from 1 species
AGUGAGAAUGAUCCUGUAUAUGUCUGAGUACAGAAUUCAACAGAUCAAUAUAGAAGUCAUUUCCUCUUCCAAUACAUUAUAAUCAGAUGAAGUUUGAAAUGAGGCAUUGGUAAACAAGCUUGAGAAAGUAUUUCAAUGUUAGCCAAUAUCAUCAUAAAGUUAACAACAAAAGUGCAAGAAAACAAACACCAGGUGGUGCUAUUCUGACAGAAAAAUGAAAAAGACUUGCCAGAAAACGCUACAUAAUCAUGCAGUAGUUUUUUUCUGCCAGUUCUAAUCCAUAGUCGAAGAUAUAUAACCGAACAUUUCACCAUAAAGAUUCAUUUAGUUCUAUAAGAAGAACACAACAGGAUACACUAAAAGCUUACAAUCUAAGGUUUCAACACUGGAUUUAGCAGGCAGACCAGGGAUUAAUAGAUUGUAGUUCAAAGUGUAAAACAAAGGACAUUCUUCCAUAUGUGCUGCUUUUCCUUUGUAAAUAUAUCAAGAAAUAGACAACUGAGUUCAAAGUUAAUCUAGCAUUACCAGUAC